UCGCCUGUUUAUCAAAAACAUGGUUUCUUGGGUGAAAUAAGAGAUCUAACCUGCCCACUGAAGUUUUUGAAGGGCCGCAGUAUUUUGACUGUGCAAAGGUAGCAUAAUCAUUAGUCUUUUAAUUGAGGGCUGGUAUGAAUGGUUGGACGAAGUGGAUACUGUCUUAUUGUAAUUUAGUGUUGAAUUUAGAUUUUAAGUAAAAAUACUUAAAUGCUGUUAAGGGACGAUAAGACCCUAUAGAGUUUGAUAUAUGUAGUUUUAAUUGAGUUUGAAUUAAAUUUUUAAUUAUUAUGAAAUGUAUUUAAUUGGGGUGAUUAGAAGAUAAAAGUAACUCUUCUUUAAAUUUAAUAUUUUAAGUAGAUAUAAGAUCCAUUUAUAGUGAUUAUAAGAUUAAAUUACCUUAGGGAUAACAGCAUAAUCUUUUUUGAGAGCUCAAAUCGAAAGAAAGGAUUGUGACCUCGAUGUUGGAUUAAGAUGAAUUUUGGGUGUAGAUGUUCAUGAAAUUAAGUCUGUUCGACUUUUAAAAUCUUACAUGAUCUGAGUUCAAACCGGAGA
rnacentral:rRNA from 1 species